UACGUAGGGUGCAAGCGUUGUCCGGAAUUAUUGGGCGUAAAGAGCUCGUAGGCGGUCUGUCGCGUCUGCUGUGAAAACUCAGGGCUUAACCCUGAGCUUGCAGUGGGGUACGGGCAGACUAGAGUGGCGGUAGGGGAGACUGGAAUUCCUGGGUGAUAGCGGUGAAAUGCGCAGAUAUCAAGGGAGGGAACACCCGGUGG
rnacentral:rRNA from 1 species